UACGGAGGGAGCUAGCGUUAUUCGGAAUUACUGGGCGUAAAGCGCACGUAGGCGGCUUUCUAAGUCGGGGGUGAAAUCCUGGAGCUCAACUCCAGAACUGCCUUCGAUACUGGAGAGCUCGAGUCCGGGAGAGGUGAGUGGAACUGCGAGUGUAGAGGUGAAAUUCGUAGAUAUUCGCAAGAACACCAGUGGCGAAGGCGGCUCACUGGCCCGGUACUGACGCUGAGGUGCGAAAGCGUGGGGAGCGAAACAGG
rnacentral:rRNA from 1 species